UGGGGAAUAUUGCACAAUGGGGGAAACCCUGAUGCAGCAACGCCGCGUGAGUGAUGAAGGCCUUCGGGUUGUAAAGCUCUGUCUUUGGGGACGAUAAUGACGGUACCCAAGGAGGAAGCCACGGCUAACUACGUGCCAGCAGCCGCGGUAAUACGUAGGUGGCAAGCGUUGUCCGGAUUUACUGGGUUUAAAGGGUGCGUAGGUGGGUAUGUAAGUCAGUGGUGAAAUCCCCGAGCUUAACUUGGGAACUGCCAUUGAUACUAUAUAUCUUGAAUACCGUAGAGGUAAGCGGAAUAUGUCAUGUAGCGGUGAAAUGCUUAGAUAUGACAUGGAACACCAAUUGCGAAGGCAGCUUACUAUGCGGUGAUUGACACUGAGGCACGAAAGCGUGGGUAGCAAACA
rnacentral:rRNA from 1 species